UACAGAGGGUGCAAGCGUUAAUCGGAAUUACUGGGCGUAAAGCGUGCGUAGACGGUUGCGUAAGUCAGAUGUGAAAGCCCCGGGCUCAACCUGGGAAUUGCAUUUGAGACUGCGUAGCUAGGGUGCGGAAGAGGGUAGCGGAAUUUCCGGUGUAGCGGUGAAAUGCGUAGAUAUCGGAAGGAACACCAGUGGCGAAAGCGGCUUCCUGGUCCAGCACCGACGUUCAGGCACGAAAGCGUGGGGAGCAAACAGG
rnacentral:rRNA from 1 species